GCCAUCUUGGCUGGUCUAUGGCGUCAACCUUUUGAGACCGUUCAGUUGUUUCCAGGCACCUGAACUUCCCUGCGUGGUUUUUGCUGAUGAGCAAAAGUAAACCCAGAGACAAGUUUAAGGGCUCUUCAUGGGAUUCCCUGGUCAAGAAUACUGGAGUGGGUUUCCAUUUCCUUCUCCGUGGGAGCUUCCUGAUCCAGGGAUGGAACCUGGGUGGCAGAUGAGGAAGGAGCUAAGUUCUGUCUCUGGGCUGAGAAGUUUCUGAGCAGAGUCUACAUGUGAGGUCAUAGAAGCCCAGGAUGGAAAGGUGGUCCUGAGAAUGUGAGCCCCUGGAAUUCACAGGAAAGGCUCUGGAAUUCUAAUGGGUAUGCUUUGCAGGGUGGUGCUCUGGUUAAUUUUAGCUAAAUCUCAAGGGACAGGGAGAUCCCAGCUGAUUCUAGAUUUCAAGAGUGUUCAACAUAAGUAAUAUGGUGAAUCAGGGUGCUCUUUCAACCAUGAUGGGGAAUUUAUCUUGAAAUAGCUAUGUCUCCUGUUUCCUC